UACAGAGGUCUCAAGCGUUGUUCGGAUUCAUUGGGCGUAAAGGGUGCGUAGGUGGCGCUGUAAGUCGGGUGUGAAAUUUCGGAGACUUAACUCCGAAACUGCAUUCGAUACUGCGGUGCUUGAGGACUGGAGAGGAGACUGGAAUUCAUGGUGUAGCAGUGAAAUGCGUAGAGAUCAUGAGGAAGACCAGUGGCGAAGGCGGCUCACUGGCCCGAUACUGACGCUGAGGCACGAAAGCGUGGGGGAGCAAACAGG
rnacentral:rRNA from 1 species